rnacentral:rRNA from 1 species
UAACCUGCUAAAUAGUUGGGCCAACUCUGGUUGGUGAUCAACUUCUUAGAGGGACUAUAGACGUUUAGUCUAUGGAAGUUUGAGGCAAUAACAGGUCUGUGAUGCCCUUAGAUGUUCUGGGCCGCACGCGCGCUACACUGAUAAAGGCAACAAGUAAUUCACCUUGGCCGGAAGGUCUGGGUAAUCUUUUGAAACUUUAUCGUGCUGGGGAUAGUCCUUUGCAAUUAUUGGACUUUAACGAGGAAUUCCUAGUAAGCGUGAGUCAUCAGCUCGCGUUGAUUACGUCCCUGCCCUUUGUACACACCGCCCGUCGCUAGUACCGAUUGAAUGGCUUAGUGAGACCUCCGGAUUGGCGGUUUAUUGGUGGCAACACCUCUUUACUGCCGAAAAGUUGGU